UGAACGCUGGCGGCAUGCCUUACACAUGCAAGUCGAACGGCAGCACGGGUGCUUGCACCUGGUGGCGAGUGGCGAACGGGUGAGUAAUACAUCGGAACAUGUCCUGUAGUGGGGGAUAGCCCGGCGAAAGCCGGAUUAAUACCGCAUACGAUCUACGGAUGAAAGCGGGGGACCUUCGGGCCUCGCGCUAUAGGGUUGGCCGAUGGCUGAUUAGCUAGUUGGUGGGGUAAAGGCCUACCAAGGCGACGAUCAGUAGCUGGUCUGAGAGGACGACCAGCCACACUGGGACUGAGACACGGCCCAGACUCCUACGGGAGGCAGCAGUGGGGAAUUUUGGACAAUGGGCGAAAGCCUGAUCCAGCAAUGCCGCGUGUGUGAAGAAGGCCUUCGGGUUGUAAAGCACUUUUGUCCGGAAAGAAAUCCUUGGCUCUAAUACAGUCGGGGGAUGACGGUACCGGAAGAAUAAGCACCGGCUAACUACGUGCCAGCAGCCGCGGUAAUACGUAGGGUGCGAGCGUUAAUCGGAAUUACUGGGCGUAAAGCGUGCGCAGGCGGUUUGCUAAGACCGAUGUGAAAUCCCCGGGCUCAACCUGGGAACUGCAUUGGUGACUGGCAGGCUAGAGUAUGGCAGAGGGGGGUAGAAUUCCACGUGUAGCAGUGAAAUGCGUAGAGAUGUGGAGGAAUACCGAUGGCGAAGGCAGCCCCCUGGGCCAAUACUGACGCUCAUGCACGAAAGCGUGGGGAGCAAACAGGAUUAGAUACCCCUGGUAGUCCACGCCCUAAACGAUGUCAACUAGUUGUUGGGGAUUCAUUUCCUUAGUAACGUAGCUAACGCGUGAAGUUGACCGCCUGGGGAGUACGGUCGCAAGAUUAAAACUCAAAGGAAUUGACGGGGACCCGCACAAGCGGUGGAUGAUGUGGAUUAAUUCGAUGCAACGCGAAAAACCUUACCUACCCUUGACAUGGUCGGAAUCCCGCUGAGAGGUGGGAGUGCUCGAAAGAGAACCGGCGCACAGGUGCUGCAUGGCUGUCGUCAGCUCGUGUCGUGAGAUGUUGGGUUAAGUCCCGCAACGAGCGCAACCCUUGUCCUUAGUUGCUACGCAAGAGCACUCUAAGGAGACUGCCGGUGACAAACCGGAGGAAGGUGGGGAUGACGUCAAGUCCUCAUGGCCCUUAUGGGUAGGGCUUCACACGUCAUACAAUGGUCGGAACAGAGGGUUGCCAACCCGCGAGGGGGAGCUAAUCCCAGAAAACCGAUCGUAGUCCGGAUUGCACUCUGCAACUCGAGUGCAUGAAGCUGGAAUCGCUAGUAAUCGCGGAUCAGCAUGCCGCGGUGAAUACGUUCCCGGGUCUUGUACACACCGCC
rnacentral:rRNA from 1 species